rnacentral:rRNA from 1 species
GCCUAAUACAUGCAAGACGAACGGCAAGAUUGAUAGCAAUAUUGAUCCUAGAGUGUCGUAAGGGUGCGUAACACGUAUGCAAUCUACCCGAAACUGGAGCAUAGCUCCCCGAAAGGGGAAUUAACACUUCAUAAGAUCACAGGAUGGCAUCAUCUAGUGAUUAAAACUGAGGUGGUUUCGGAUGAGCAUGCGUUUGAUUAGUUAGUUGGCGGGGUAACGGCCCACCAAGACGAUGAUCAAUAGGGGAACUGAGAGGUUGAUCCCCCACACUGGCACUGAGAUACGGGCCAGACUCCUACGGGAGGCAGCAGUAGGGAAUAUUGGACAAUGGGUGAGAGCCUGAUCCAGCCAUGCCGCGUGCAGGAAGAAGGCCUUCUGGGUUGUAAACUGCUUUUGCCAGGGGAUAAAAUUUCUUUGCGAAGAAAAUUGAAGGUACCUGGUGAAUAAGCCACGGCUAACUACGUGCCAGCAGCCGCGGUAAUACGUAGGUGGCAAGCGUUGUCCGGAUUUAUUGGGUUUAAAGGGUGCGUAGGCGGUUCCAUAAGUCAGUGGUGAAAUACAAUAGCUUAACUAUUGAGGUGCCAUUGAUACUGCGGAACUUGAGUACAGACGAGGUAGGCGGAAUUGACGGUGUAGCGGUGAAAUGCUUAGAUAUCGUCAAAGAACACCGAUAGCGAAGGCAGCUUACUGGACUGUAACUGACGCUGAGGCACGAAAGUGUGGGGAUC